rnacentral:rRNA from 1 species
GACGAACGCUGGCGGCGUGCUUAACACAUGCACGUCGAACGAAGUGGCGAACGGGUGAGUAACGCGUAAUCAACCUGCCCUUCAGAGGGGUACCACAGUUGGAAACGACUGCUAAUACCGCAUACUGAAGGAGGGGAUUGCGUCUGAUUAGCUAGUUGGUGGUGUAACGUCCCACCAAGGCGAUGAUCAGGAGCCGGUCUGAGGGGAGGAACGGCAACAUUGGGACGGAGAUACGGCCCAGACUCCUACGGGAGGCAGCAGUGGGGAAUCUUCCGCAAUGGACGAAAGUCUGACGGAGCAACGCCGCGUGAGGGAUGACGGCCUUCGGGUGGUAAAGCUCUGUUAAUCGGGACGCGGUACCGGAAUAGAAAGCCACGGCUAACUACGUGCCAGCAGCCGCGGUAAUAC